UCGGCGAUUAUGCCCAGAUUGUCAUGACUCUGCAGUACUGGAUGAUGGGGCACUUAAAGCUCUUGAACGCGAAAUACGAGAAUUUUAUGAAUGCUUAGGCAUGAAAGUUCACCAGCCAACAAUUCCACUAUACUUGGUGAACCAGCAAGAGAUGAACGAAUACAUAGCACGAGAUGAAAAAUUGGGCAUCAUCGACAGGGCGUGACAUUAGGACUGACAACGCGGGACUACGAUCCUAUUUUUACCACCGUGGAAGGUAGACGACAUCCGCUAGUCGCCUACACAGAAGUUGUUUCCAUAAGAAUUUUGUGUGGUCUUCCGAGGUUAAAAACAGGGGAAACCCUCACUCAUGAGAUGAUGCACGCGUGGCACAUACUUGAACUUGACGGUU